rnacentral:rRNA from 1 species
UCAGUCGACUCCUACGGGAGGCAGCAGUGGGGAAUCUUAGACAAUGGGCGCAAGCCUGAUCUAGCCAUGCCGCGUGAGUGAUGAAGGCCUUAGGGUCGUAAAGCUCUUUCGCCAGGGGAUGAUAAUGACAGUACCUGGUAAAGAAACCCCGGCUAACUCCGUGCCAGCAGCCGCGGUAAUACGGAGGGGUUAGCGUUGUUCGGAAUUACUGGGCGUAAAGCGCGCGUAGGCGGAUUAGUCAGUUAGAGGUGAAAUCCCAGGGCUCAACCCUGGAACUGCCUUUAAUACUGCUAGUCUUGAGUUCGAGAGAGGUGAGUGGAAUUCCGAGUGUAGAGGUGAAAUUCGUAGAUAUUCGGAGGAACACCAGUGGCGAAGGCGGCUCACUGGCUCGAUACUGACGCUGAGGUGCGAAAGUGUGGGGAGCAAACAGGAUUAGAUACCCUGGUAG